rnacentral:rRNA from 1 species
UACGUAGGUGGCAAGCGUUGUCCGGAUUUACUGGGCGUAAAGAGCGCGCAGGCGGUCGUUCAAGUCGCGUGUGAAAGCCCCCGGCUCAACUGGGGAGGGUCACGCGAUACUGAUCGACUCGAAGGCAGGAGAGGGUAGUGGAAUUCCCGGUGUAGUGGUGAAAUGCGUAGAUAUCUGGAGGAACACCGGUGGCGAAGGCGGCUG